rnacentral:rRNA from 1 species
GACGAACGCUUGCGGCGUGCUUAACACAUGCAAGUCGAACGGAAAGGCCCUGCUUUUGUGGGGUGCUCGAGUGGCGAACGGGUGAGUAACACGUGAGUAACCUGCCCUUGACUUUGGGAUAACUUCAGGAAACUGGGGCUAAUACCGGAUAGGAGCUCCUGCUGCAUGGUGGGGGUUGGAAAGUUUCGGCGGUUGGGGAUGGACUCGCGGCUUAUCAGCUUGUUGGUGGGGUAGUGGCUUACCAAGGCUUUGACGGGUAGCCGGCCUGAGAGGGUGACCGGCCACAUUGGGACUGAGAUACGGCCCAGACUCCUACGGGAGGCAGCAGUGGGGAAUAUUGCACAAUGGGCGGAAGCCUGAUGCAGCAACGCCGCGUGCGGGAUGACGGCCUUCGGGUUGUAAACCGCUUUCGCCUGUGACGAAGCGUGAGUGACGGUAAUGGGUAAAGAAGCACCGGCUAACUACGUGCCAGCAGCCGCGGUGAUACGUAGGGUGCGAGCGUUGUCCGGAUUUAUUGGGCGUAAAGGGCUCGUAGGUGGUUGAUCGCGUCGAAAGUGUAAUCUUGGGGCUUAACCCUGAGCGUGCUUUCGAUACGGGUUGACUUGAGGAAGGUAGGGGAGAAUGGAAUUCCUGGUGGAGCGGUGGAAUGCGCAGAUAUCAGGAGGAACACCAGUGGCGAAGGCGGUUCUCUGGGCCUUUCCUGACGCUGAGGAGCGAGAGCGUGGGGAGCGAACAGGCUUAGAUACCCUGGUAGUCCACGCUGUAAACGGUGGGUACUAGGUGUGGGGUCCAUUCCACGGGUUCCGUGCCGUAGCUAACGCUUUAAGUACCCCGCCUGGGGAGUACGGCCGCAAGGCUAAAACUCAAAGGAAUUGACGGGGCCCCGCACAAGCGGCGGAGCAUGCGGAUUAAUUCGAUGCAACGCGUAGAACCUUACCUGGGUUUGACAUGGAUCGGGAGUGCUCAGAGAUGGGUGUGCCUCUUUUGGGGUCGGUUCACAGGUGGUGCAUGGCUGUCGUCAGCUCGUGUCGUGAGAUGUUGGGUUAAGUCCCGCAACGAGCGCAACCCUUGUUCACUGUUGCCAGCACGUUAUGGUGGGGACUCAGUGGAGACCGCCGGGGUCAACUCGGAGGAAGGUGGGGAUGACGUCAAGUCAUCAUGCCCCUUAUGUCCAGGGCUUCACGCAUGCUACAAUGGCUGGUACAGAGAGUGGCGAGCCUGUGAGGGUGAGCGAAUCUCGGAAAGCCGGUCUCAGUUCGGAUUGGGGUCUGCAACUCGACCUCAUGAAGUCGGAGUCGCUAGUAAUCGCAGAUCAGCAACGCUGCGGUGAAUACGUUCCCGGG